GUGACCUCAAUUUUAUGGUUAAUUGCUCAAUGUUAAGUAUUUGCUUUUUGGUCUGUUUUUCUAAUCUAUAAUCAUUAGGUCAAGUAUAAUUAUACCCCAAGUAACAAAGCUGCAGAGGGUAUAAUGUUUUUGACCCGUCCGUCUGUCUGUUUGUCCUUCCGUCAGUCCUGUUUCUUGUCAUUGCAACUCCUCUGAAACCACACAACAGAAUUUCAUGAAACUUUGUAGAAAAUAAGGACAUACUACGUAGAUGUGCAUAUUGACAGGAAUUUAUGAUUCUAUUAUUUUUCUUGUACAAUUUUUUCUUCUUACAGUUAUGUGGGGAC
rnacentral:lncRNA from 1 species